rnacentral:rRNA from 1 species
AUUGAACGCUGGCGGCAGGCCUAACACAUGCAAGUCGAGCGGCUCGGCCGACGGGUGCGUAAUGCCUAUGAAUCUGCCUGGUCGUUUGGGAUAACAUACCGAAACGGACGCUAAUACAGCAUCCUAUCCGAUGAGACUAGGUCGGAUUAGCUAGUUGGUGGGGUAAAGGCCUACAAAGGCGACGAUCCGUAACUGGUCUGAGCGGAUGAUCAGUCACACUGGAACUGAGACACGGUCCAGACUCCUACGGGAGGCAGCAGUGGGGAAUAUUGGACAAUGGGCGAAAGCCUGAUCCAGCCAUUCCGCGUGUGUGAAGAAGGUCUUCGGAUUGUAAAGCACUUUAAGUUGGGAGGCGUUACCAACAGAAUAAGCACCGGCUAACUUCGUGCCAGCAGCCGCGGUAAGUC